rnacentral:rRNA from 1 species
CAGUCGCCGCGGUAAUACGUAGGUGGCAAGCGUUGUCCGGAAUUAUUGGGCGUAAAGGGCUAGCAGGCGGUUUCUUAAGUCUGAUAUGAAAGCCCCCGGCUCAACCGGGGAGGGUCAUUGGAAACUGGGAAACUUGAGUGCAGAAGAGGAGAGUGGAAUUCCACGUGUAGCGGUGAAAUGCGUAGAGAUGUGGAGGAACACCAGUGGCGAAGGCGACUCUCUGGUCUGUAACUGACGCUGAGGAGCGAAAGCGUGGGGAGCGAACAGGAUUAGAUACCCCACGUAGUCCCUGUCUCUUAUA